UGCAGGGCCCCGUUCCCAGCGUUGCUCACUUGGUGGCACCCGUGCCACCUGACUCGAGGGCCGGGGUUGUCCUCCUGGGCCACAGUCCCGGCUCCCUUGUCACCGGCCAUGCCUGCCACUUGGCAUGCCCUCGACACCUCUGCACGGAGCCUGCAGAGACAUGAACAGUCUGCUGGUGACACAGGAUUGAGACCGUUGGAAACCACACGGAGGAAAAGCCCUGGGCGCUGAUCUGGUGGCUGAGAGAUAAGGACUGGCGGGGUGAGGCUCCGGCCCCAGAGAUGGUUAACUGAAAGCCAAAGGUCUCCAGAGGCGGCCCCUGGACCAGCUGGAUCCGCCUCCCCGGGGAGCCAGUUAGAAAUGCAGACGCUCAGACCCCACCCCAGACCCACGGAUUGGUAACAUGCCAUCAAGGGACUGGAACCCGGGUGCCAGGAAUGGGCAGUUCACGGUUGAAUUCCAGAUGUGACCUUCGCGUAUUUUCCAGAAUGGUACAAUUUCCUACACUCUGCCAUCUCCUCUGACAGCGUAGCAGGUCAAGGCCGUGUCUCCUCAAGUCUGCUCCAGACCAGCGACACCCGCCUCCCUGGACCUUGGGAGUGAGGUGGAAUCUUGGCUCCGCCGAGGGGACCGUGAAUUUGAAUCUGCCUGCUGACAAGACCCCGGUGGGGGCCCCAAAAUGCAGCUGAACCCACUCGAGCCAGCGAGUUGGAGCUCUGUCCCUGAUGCCUGACGACAGUCUCACCUCGAAGUCUGGAUUUGCGGAUGUGUGACUGAUUUGGGGACGCGAGAGCUGUCACCGCCAGGAAGACAACGUGGAGACGGCGCCUCUCCCCAGCCCGCUGCUGCUUCUAGCCAUGGAGGGACCGGCGGGAGGCAGCCCGGGCCCCGCGGAGAAGCCGGGCCCCGCGGCCGCCAGCCCCUCUCUGUCCUCGCUGGGCGCUGUCUUCAUCCUCCUGAAGUCCGCGCUGGGGGCCGGCCUGCUCAACUUCCCCUGGGCCUUCCACAAGGCGGGUGGGGUGACCCCCGCCUUCCUGGUGGAGCUGGUGUCCUUGGUCUUCCUCAUCAGCGGGCUGGUCAUCCUGGGCUACGCCGCCGCCGUCAGCGGCCAGACGACCUACCAGGGUGUGGUUGGAGGGCUGUGCGGCCCCGCCCUUGGGAGGCUGUGUGAGGCCUGCUUCAUCAUCAACCUGCUCAUGAUCUCCGUGGCCUUCCUCAGGGUGAUUGGGGACCAGCUGGAGAAGCUAUGUGACUUCCUGCUGCCCGGCACCCCCCUGGCCCCGCAGCCGUGGUACGUGGACCAGCGCCUCACGCUGCCCCUGCUCUCUGCGCUGGUCAUCCUGCCCCUGUCGGUCCCUCGUGAGAUCGGGUUCCAGAAGUACACCAGCAUCCUAGGCACCCUGGCCGCCUGCUACCUGGCCCUGGUCAUCGUGGUGCAGUACUACGUGGGCUCCCAAGGCCUUGUUCGCGAGCCCCACCCUGCGCAGAGGAUGGACUCAGCUAUUCCUAGCAAGGGCCAGGGACAGAGAGGCACAGGGGCACUAAAAGCCCCACCAGCUGGGGCUCCUAGGUUGUCAGCAGAGGUGUCCCCCACAGCACGGGGAUGGCGGAGCUGGCCCACAACGCACAGCCCCUCCUCCUGGACCUCUGUGUUUAGUGUCUUCCCCACGAUCUGCUUCGGAUUCCAGUGUCACGAAGCCGCGGUGUCGAUCUACUGUAGCAUGAGCAACCAGAGCCUCCCUCACUGGGCCCUGGUGUCCGUGCUGUCCCUGCUGGCCUGCUGCCUCAUCUACUCGCUGACAGGCGCCUCUCUAGUCCGCUCCCUGGCUUUCCACCCUCUCGGCCUCCCAGGGGUUUACGGCUUCCUGACCUUCGGGAUCGAGGUUUCCGCGGACAUCUUGAUGUCUUACCCAGGCGACGAUGUGGUCAUCAUCGUGGCCCGGGCCCUCUUCGGUGUGUCCAUCAUGACCGUCUACCCCAUCGUGCUCUUCCUGGGGAGGUCGGUGCUGCAGGAUUUCUGGAGGAGGAGCUGGUGCCGGCCGUGUGGGCCCGGGGCCCUGGCCGAGCCCUCAGGGCCGUGGGUCCGGGUGCCGCUGACCGUCCUGUGGGUUGCCGUGACGCUGGCCAUGGCCCUGCUCCUGCCCGACCUCAGCGAGAUCAUCGGCAUCAUUGGCGGGAUCAGUUCCUUCUUCAUCUUCAUCUUCCCAGGUCUGUGCCUCAUCUGUGCCGUCAGCGUCCAGCCUGUAGCUCCGUGCGUCAGGGACCUAGCGUGGCCAGAGGAACGAGGCUGGGACGCCAUUCCGCCGUCUGCCCUGACGAAGGCCUGCCUCCUCGUGCCUCCCGAGGGCGGUUUCGGGUUUGAACUGGACACGGCAAGAAUGUCACUGGCCACCGAACGCAGGUGGUGAGCUGCUCUGUGCGGUGUUUGGGGCCCCGUGUGCGCCUCGGAACAGAGCAGCCAAGUCCCCCAGUAAUGGGCUUGGACCGAGGAAGCCGACUGAGCUCUUUGGAUCCAAGUGGUGCCGUGUGCUUGCUGUGUGACCCCCGGGCCUCAGACCAGAGGUGUGGGCUUGCCCUCCCGAGGGGCUGGAGGACCGGUCCCCUGGGGCUCGGGGCGGCACCGCUCUGUGCGCGUCGUCACACGUCCAGCCGUGCUGGCACAGACGGGAGGGGACAGCUGUGCUCUGGGCGAGGUCUCGCUGAGAUCCCGCUCGGCCCUGUCCUUCAGGGGUGAGCCUCACCCUCCAGCCCGCCAUCUCCCCCGGGCUAGGCCCCCGCACACCUGGCACCAGGAUCCUGGCGAGGGCCUCAGGCCGACUCAGCGUGUCCACCUUGACGUGCCGGAAGGCCUUGCACACGGGGCUCUGCAGACCACGAAGGUGAAGCCAUCGGCCAGCCUCACUGCCGCGACGCUGCGGGGACAGGCUCCAGCUGGAGGCCCGGCCACUGCUGCACCCCCCACCCCGAGCAUGACCAAACGGGGGAGGGACCCCCAGCCCCUGCCCUCCACUGUGUUCAGUGAGUCUCUCCACCACCUACCGCCAGGCCAGGUCCCUGAAGGUGGCCAAGAACUACUCACAAUGUGAAUUAGACAAUGCAAGGACACUUUAAAGCGGCCUUAAAGUCAUUUAAAGACCCCACCUUUAAAAAUAAAGGCAUCUUCCAGCUGUA